AACGUAGGUGGCAAGCGUUAUCCGGAUUUACUGGGCGUAAAGGGUGUGCAGGCGGGGUUGCAAGUGGUGUAUGAAAUCUCCCGGCUUAACCGGGAGGGGUUAUGCCAGACUGCAAUUCUAGAGGACGAGAGAGGGGGGUGGAAUUCCGGGUGUAGUGGUGAAAUGCGCAGAUAUCAGGAGGAGCACCGGUGGCGAAGGCAGGUCUCUGGGCCGAUACUGACGCUGAGGAGCGAAAGCGUGGGGAGCGAACAGG
rnacentral:rRNA from 1 species